rnacentral:lncRNA from 1 species
AUUUGAGGCUACUAGCACACAUAUAUAGUGUAGUUAGUUCCUAUGUUCAGUUGACAUCCCCCAACUGGUAGGACAUGAUCCCCCUAUGAUCUAAAACGUGGGAACAUGAUAAAACAUGCCCCAAAAACGUGCAAAGACUUAGCCAUAUAAUCAACAACUUCUGGACAUGGGUAGUUGUAACCGCCCAAUUGCAUCAUGUGCACAACAUGUGCCGGUAACCGCCUUUGACUUGGUCCAUUCCCUUGUUGCUGCCCAAUUUCGUACCUUGGCUUGGACCAGGCUUCAAUGCUAUUGUAUCUAGCUGUAUUGUAUCCCAAUUUGCCUUACCAUAGCCCACGAACUUGGCCCGUUUUGUGGCUUGGCUUGGACAAGGAUCCAAUGCCAUUCAUCCGGCUGCAUUGUGCCCCAAUUUGCCUUAUCAUUGCCCAUGCGCUUUGUCCAUUUGGCCGAACUCGAACCAAUGCCAGAUCUGCCCGCACACCGCUUGUCUGUUGCACAUUCGCUUGCCUUUGCCCAUGUCAAUCUGAUUGUAGCAUCAACUCACCAAGCCUUGAUGCCCUUCCCUUAGCCAAGUCGUUUGCCCAUAUAUUAAUUUAGGUGCCAGUCCGCUCACCUAAGUCAUGGCAACACCACAUUGCCAAUGC